rnacentral:lncRNA from 12 species
AUGUUUGCUCUCCCUUCCAUCCCUGUAGGUCAACAGGAACAGCUUCAAAUCCCAAUCUCACUACUGCCUCUGCAAGCUGAGAGCAAGAAGGCAUCUCUCCAGGGAAAUUGCAGGCAUAUCAGCACAAAGCAGCAGGAUAUACUGGCAGCUAAUCCCAGAAUGUCCACUGUUGAGAAAAGGGCAUUUGGAUCUCACAUGGAAGAACACAAGAGACAGUGGCAGACUAAGAAUGAGAAUCCUGCUGCUAAGGGAAAUUGAUAAUGGCACUGACACCUUCACGAAAUGCUAGCAAGGGUGAAAAUGAACCAUCAACAUCACAGCUAUGGGAAGGUGUAAGUAGUACUGGCUGCCAGGUUGAUAUGUAAAUGUGUGUAUUCCUGUAUCACAGCCACUCACAGCAAUGCAAAAUGUUUGAAAGAAAAAUUGUUAUUGCUACUGAGAAUAUCCUUCUCAGCCUCUUUAUAAAAGUAAUAAAAAUACUGCAAAAGAAUUUCCUGGGAAUGCCAAUUUCUGUUUGUUGGGAUAGGCAAGAGAACUUCUGACAAAUAUCUAAGUACAACAUGUUCAGCAGAGACUUUCACCUGCCUCUGACUUGCAGGCUGAGAAGCACAAAUCAUGUGUGACAUGUCUAGGGAGGAGGCAAUCAACCAUCAGUCAUCAGCUGAUAAAGCCACAGAACAAGAUGUUUGCUCCCAUUUUAGUUUCUUACUUGUUUGUUUUUGUUGGUAUGAGAGUUACUACUUUUGUAACAAGAAUUCUUGCUUAAUAAACCAUUUUUCUUCUUAGCUGCAC